GGGGACGUGGCGAAAUAGGUAGACGCACCGGACUUAAAAUCCGUUGGAGCAAUCCGUGCCGGUUCAAGUCCGGCCGUCCCUA
rnacentral:tRNA from 1 species